rnacentral:rRNA from 1 species
AUUGAACGCUGGCGGCAGGCUUAACACAUGCAAGUCGAGCGAGCGGCGGACGGGUGAGUAAGGUAUGGGAAACUGCCUGAUGGAGGGGGAUAACUACUGGAAACGGAAGCCAAAACCGCAUACCAUAAGAUGGGCCGAGGUGGGAUUGGCUAGGGGGUGGGGUAAUGGCUUACCAAGGCGACGAUCCCUAGCUGGUCUGAGAGGAUGACCAGCCACACUGGAACUGAGACACGGUCCAGACUCCUACGGGAGGCAGCAGUGGGGAAUAUUGCACAAUGGGCGCAAGCCUGAUGCAGCCAUGCCGCGUGUGUGAAGAAGGCCUUCGGGUUGUAAAGCACUGUCAGCGGGGAGGCGUUACUCGCAGAAGAAGCACCGGCUAACUCCGUGCCAGCAGCUGCGGUAAUUC